rnacentral:rRNA from 1 species
CCUACGGGGAGCAGCAGUCGAGAAUCAUUCACAAUGGGGGAAACCCUGAUGGUGCGACGCCGCGUGGGGGAAUGAAGGUCUUCGGAUUGUAAACCCCUGUCAUGUGGGAGCAAAUUAAAAAGAUAGUACCACAAGAGGAAGAGACGGCUAACUCUGUGCCAGCAGCCGCGGUAAUCCAGAGGUCUCAAGCGUUGUUCGGAAUCACUGGGCGUAAAGCGUGCGUAGGCUGUUUCGUAAGUCGUGUGUGAAAGGCGCGGGCUCAACCCGCGGACGGCACAUGAUACUGCGAGACUAGAGUAAUGGAGGGGGAACCGGAAUUCUCGGUGUAGCAGUGAAAUGCGUAGAUAUCGAGAGGAACACUCGUGGCGAAGGCGGGUUCCUGGACAUUAACUGACGCUGAGGCACGAAGGCCAGGGGAGCGAAAGGGAUUAGAUACCCUUGUAGUC